rnacentral:lncRNA from 12 species
UGGGCACUGGCAUCUUGACCUACAAAAGAUGGAUUCAGGCUAGCAGUGGCAGAAGACCCAAGUUAAGUUAGCAGAGGGGUUAUUUAACACACCAUUGAUGGUCUUCCUGAAAGUCACUUGAAGCCUUUAAAACUGAGACCACCAUAAUCGGCGCAUGAAGAGCUACUAAAAGCUUCCUGAGAAGGGAGGUAAUGAGAAAACUAUAGUGUCUGGGAAAACCAAAACAAACAAACGGACUAACAGACCCCAGGCUUCCAGAGAUCUUGAGUGGAGCUUGACCUCCAUGAAGUAUCAUUUGCUUCCUGUUUGCUGACAAAGUACAAUGAGGUUUAUAUUCAGGCCCCACCUUUCAGUGUCUGGGUCUAAAAAUAUAACAAUGAACUUCUGACACAAAGGCCCUGUCUCCUGGGGAGGCAGAAUUUAGAUCUAACUGCAAAGCACAAAUUCUCCUCUCUUUGAGGAAAAACUAGUUUUGAGUAGGUGGGUGGGGGCUUUAUUUUCUUCUUUCUUUUUUCUUUUCUUUUCUUAUUUUUUUUUUUUUUAACUUUCUAAUUUUAGAUUGCCAGACUUGGAGGAUUUCAUUAGGAUUAGGCCAGGCUUAUGCAACUGUUUGUUCUAAGUUGUUAAGUCUAUCAUGACUAUAACCAUUUUAAAGCAUACAUCACUAUGGUUACCUCUGUGACAUUGUCUCAGCCUGAGCUGAUCUACAUGGCUGGGAGGAGACGCCAGACCACAUGAGUGGGAACACACGUGGAUGUCUAAUCCAUGUAUCUUUUUGGAUUUCAUUAGGAUUAGGCCAGGUUUAUGCAACUGUUUGUUCUAAGUUGUUAAGUCUAUCAUGACUAUAACCAUUUUAAAGCAUACAUCACUAUGGUUACCUCUGUGACAUUGUCUCAGCCUGAGCUGAUCUACAUGGCUGGGAGGAGACGCCAGACCACAUGAGUGGGAACACACGUGGAUGUCUAAUCCAUGUAUCUUUUUAGUUCUGUGGAAAUGUCGAGUCUCAGCUCCACAGAUGCCUGAGCAUGGGGCCUCCUUCUGUAUGCACAGGAGUAGCUUGUACCAGUCAGACCUCCUAAAAGAAGAGCUUGGGUGA